rnacentral:lncRNA from 1 species
UCUGUUUGGGCGCUCUCGGCUGCUGGCCCCUCCGAGCCUUUCCACGCGUGGUGAGCAGCCAGGCCUUAGGACUAGAGUUUGUAAUCGACUGUGACAGGAUGGCGAAGGUUCCCCAGACUUGAGACUACGUGUUUUCGCAGGUUAAUUCCCCAGGUGGAAUUUCCCCUCCAGAGUUGGGAAUUCUCGUUUUGCCCUGAUAAGAGAAACCUGUUCUGAGAAAUGGAAACCUAUGCCAUUGGCAGUCAGCAUGAGGUGAUCUACGUCAUCAGUCACAUCUAGGGGUUGGGCUUAUGGCUUUUGCCUUUAUAAGCCUGCUGCUUUGCAAUAAAAUUGAACCUUGAUCAGAA